AUUGAACGCUGGCGGCAGGCCUAACACAUGCAAGUCGAACGAGUGGCGGACGGGUGUGUCAUGUCUGGGAAACUGCCUGAUGGAGGGGGAUAACUUUUCGAAACGGUAUCUAAUACCGCAUACCAUCAGAUGUGCCCAGAUGGGAUUAGCUAGUUGGUGGGGUAACGGCUCACCAAGGCGACGAUCCCUCGCGGGUCUGAGAGGAUGACCAGCCACACUGGAACUGAGACACGGUCCAGACUCCUACGGGAGGCAGCAGUGGGGAAUAUUGCACAAUGGGCGCAAGCCUGAUGCAGCCAUGCCGCGGGUAUGAAGAAGGCCUUCGGGUUGUAAAGUACUUUCAGCGGGGAGGCGUUACCCGCAGAAGAAGCACCGGCUAACUCCGUGCCAGCCGCCGCGGUAAUUC
rnacentral:rRNA from 1 species